ACCUGCAUUAUGAAUUUAAAAAUAAAUAAGAAUUUUAUUUUGUUAAUAAAAAAGAAACAAAAUAAUGCCUCCUUAACAAACUUUUCUCAUAUAAGUAAAUUAGAAAAAUUAAAGUGUACUUAACUUCAAGUCACGCUUACAUUCAUCCAAACCAUUCAACUUUGACAUGUAAUCCAUAAAUGCUAGGUCAUUAAGGAUAUAAUAAGUAUAUAGCAAGAGGAUAAAAAUAGCAAUAGCUAGUACGAAAUGAAAAUCAAAUGUUGCAAUAAAUCAACUCAAACAUCAAUAAAGAAAUUCUAUAACUAUAUUUUUUAAUUCACAUGGGAGCCAUUUUAUUUUUCUUCACAAUCCAUCUACCCAAUUAAUCUUCUAUAGGAGUUUGUACCUAUGUUAGACAUAAGUUUAAGAAUAUGAACGAACUACACAAAUGCAAGGAGCAAUUAUGAUAACUUACUCAUGCCUUUGUACCAAUUAAAUAUCGCCUUAUGCAACAGUUUUUUUCUUCUUCUUUUUUAAUACUAGUGCAUUCAAUUUAACCUAAAAGAAUUAUCUAUUGAUGCUAAUCAUAUAAACAAAACAGGAGGCUAUCACGAAUUUUGAGAAACUUUUGAGAUUUUUCAACAUCUAGUCCUUUAAAUAACCAAGCAAUAUGGGCUAAUUGAUAACCUUGUUUGUGUCUAAUGACCAAUUUAAUAAGUCAAAUUCAAGUUUUCUAGCUUAACAAAUAAAACUCAAACACUACUAAGAGCAAACAAAUUUAGAUUAAUUUAAAUCUUCAUUUAAACAAGGCAAAAAGAAAACCACGAGCAUGAGACUAAAUUCGGCAAGAUAAAUCUUCACUUAUGGAUCUCACUUAAGCAUCAAUUGGUUGGAAUAAUGCAACAAUAACCAUUACCCUAACCAGAUAGAGGGAUUGAUAUUCACAGGCUUAAGUACAUAAGAAAUAAAAUCAACUCAAUAAGAGAAGUGACAAAACAACAGAAUCAACAGUACAACCAACAAAAGCUACAAAAGUGAAAUUAGUAAAGGAAAGUCCACAAAUAAUGAGACAUCAUAAAGAUCUACCUCAAUUGAAGUCUUCUCUCCUUUAAGAUGCCAAUGCAACCCAUAAAUGUCGUAGCUCAGGAGAAAAUUCAGGUUGUUAAGGAUCAAUCCUUUUACGUUGCAGGUUCUAAUUAAAUCAGUAUUGUACAAGAAAACAAUAUACAGAUUUCCCCUUCCAGACAUUGGUUUAUGGAGUAGAUUAAAGAGAAUAAAUUAAAGAUUCUAACAAGACCAAAAGCAUGAACGCAUAUCAAAUUCUAAUAGAUGUCCAUAUACUCAAAUUCAUAAGAUACAGUUUUCAGAUCCACCUUAGUAUUUGCUAACUACAAAGAAAUAAUUAAGAUGAAAAAAUCUAUCAUGUGAUUGAUAUACAAAAUUUCGAAUCGUUAAGGCACAAAUAAGAAUUUUCAGUCUUUAAUAUAUUACUUCUAAAUGUAAGAAAAAUAAAUUAACCAAACAUAAGAAAUUGAUCCAAAUAAAAAUGGAAUCAACAUAAGAAGUCCUAUAUUGAUAAUUGAAAACCCUAAAUUCGGUAAAUUAAAUUAAAAAAAUAAAGCUUACAUGUAAAUAUUGAUGAGAAAGAUUUAACAGAAGACCCAACAGCAACAAGUCUUGAGACAAUAAAGAAUUAACGAUUAGAACUUUUUGAUUUUGAGAGAUCUACUAAAAAAACAAAAGAAAUUGACAAAUCAGGGGAUUUGGACAAUAAAGAAUUAACGAUUACAACUUUUUGCUUUUGAGAGAUCUACUAAAAAAACAAAAGAAAUUGACAAAUCAGGGGAUUUGGACAAUAAAGAAUUAACGAUUACAACUUUUUGCUUUUGAGAGAUCUACUAAAAAAACAAAAGAAAUUGACAAAAUCAGGGGAUUUGGGGAGGAAUCCAGGGAGAGACAGAAAAAGAAGGGGCCUUAGGCUUUAGGUGUCCUAUGAUAAUGGACAAAUUUUGGGAAAAGAGAGCGCCCACGUGUUUCUAAUCUUGGCGGUAUAUUUAUUUACUUAUUUUUUUCCUUUUUUUAGCAUUUUUCAAGUGUUACAAAGGUGUGUUUUUUCGUAGCAUUUUAAAAGAGCUACGUUAGUUAAUAUAAAUAUGACAUUUAAAAAAAUGCUACUAAUGGAAUAAAAAAUUCUAGACAGCAGAGCAUAAAAAAUUAAUUAAUUCAAACACGGAAAUUUGAUCAUACUCCACUAAAUUUGAUUCCUUUUUCUUGUCCAUCUUUCAUCUUUUUAUUUGGUAGCUAGCUUGCUUCAAAAUAUACAAGUUUCCUCUGCUGGCGGCAUUACUCUAAUAAGCUCUAUUGCUCCAACGUGCAAUUAAAUAUAUAUUUUUUAAAAUUAAUCUUGUAAUAACAGUAUUUUAUUGAUUUGGUGAAACAAAGAAAAAAAAAAUAGAACAUGCUUACCGAUUACCAUCAACAUCAAGUAGAGAGCUGCGAGCCUACGACGCCGAAAAUAAACCUUUGGGUGCUGCAACGCCGAUGACCGAGGAGAUGGAAGCCGUAAAAUCCAGCAGCGUUUACUGGUGGGACUUGAGAUUAGGCGGUAUUUGCUGGUGGGACUUGAGAUUAGGCGGUAUUUGCUGGUGGGACAAGAAAUUGACUGCUACUGGAUGGCGGUGGAGUUGACAAAUGACUGCUGACGAUCGAUGGUAGGUUAACGGCAUGGCGCAACAAGGGGCUUGCGGCGUGCUCGGCGAGGACUGGGGAGAGUUGUGAGAGUUGAGAGAGGUUAGGGAUUUGUAAGCAGUGGGGGAGAUUUUGGGCAUUUGGGGAUUCGUGGGGCAGUUAUAAAUUUUUUAUUUUUUGAAUUUUUUUUAAUACAAAACCUCUCAGUUUUUUUUAAUAAAUUUUGAGUUCGGUUCGGUUCAAUUCUUAUUUCGGAUUUUGGUUCGGUUCGGUUUAAUCUGACCCAAACGCCCCUAGUUUGUCCUAUAAAACUUGGAGGAUAUAAACCUCAAACCUAGAAAGUUUU
rnacentral:lncRNA from 1 species